UGAAGUGAUCCCGGCAUUACAGGAUCUGGAUAUAGUCACCUGUCUCUUUUGUUCCUGCUGCAGCACUAAAAUUUGACAUCUCUGAUUCUUCUCAAGCAAGGGUUGCUGCAGUCUUUUCAGCAGCUUCUCCGUGGUGCUGCCACAAAUAGAAUAUUGAAAUCAUGUUUGGUCCCCACUGACUUUCAGCACAUGACCCUUUCCUCAAAGCCUAGCUUCACUUGAUUCUCAGCGAUAUCUCUAUACGUUUAAACCAUUGUCAUUUGGCAUCCUGGUUCUCAGCCAGUUGUCUUAUUUACCUCUCUGCGCUCGUUUCCAUUGGCUUCCUUCCUUUCCCUUGUUCAUGUAGUGAACUCAGUACACCUGAACCCAGAUUCAGCAUUUCCCUCCAGAGUGCCCGCCCUCUUGCUCUUGCUGUUUAUUCUGAGUCACAAACCUUAAAAAAAAAAAAAAAAAAAAAAAUUACUGUCGAGCGUCUCCAUUGCUUGUAUUCUCUAUAUUUAUAAUGUGAUUCUGGCCCUUAUCUUAUGGCAAAAAGAGCUUAUCUGCCAUGCAGUCUGGGAAAAUUCCCAGCCAUUUCCAGGGAUGUCAAAAAAAGCCGCAAUUCAGGGAUUCUUCAUUCACUUUGGAAUUCAUCUGGUUGCUGGUUUCAUUCUGAACUUGAGAUUUCAGUUUCCUCUCUGGCCCCAGCUCCUGCUCUGGCUUCUUAACUUUUUCUGCCAGAGCUUCCUGACGCCUAGAUGGGCACUUUUCAGACAUUAACCAUGCAAGUGAAUCCCUGGAGAGCUUGUUAAAAUGCAGAUUAUGAUUCAGGAGGUCUGGGAUGGUGCCUGAGUUUCUGCAUUUCUGACGAGCUCUACAGUACUCCCCAUGCUGGGGGCUCAAGGACCACACUUUGGGUAUCAAGGGCCCCUAGCAACAAUCUCCUAAAUGCGCUUUCUUGCUCACCUGAUCCCUCUGCAGAAGGGACAGCGCAAGGACUGUCACGUUGCCAUGAUCUCUGGGUCGCGCACUGCCUGCAUUACUGGUCCCCAGCACUACAGAGGGCUGGAAUCCCUUUGGAUCCUCAUGAAAAUGACUGAUUCUUGGCUUCCAUCCCUGGAGAUCUGAUUCAGUAGAUCUGGGGUAUGGCUGCAGAAUCUUUAUUUUCAAGAAGCUUCUCCAGGAAAUCUUAGCGGUUUUGUUUGAUUGUUUGUUUUUAAAGAACCAGUGUUUUAUAAAUUCAAGUCCAACCAGAAACCGUAAAUGUAAAGUCUUCCCCGGCAGAUCCAAUCUCCUUUUUGUCUCAUUUAUUACUUCUCUCCACAGCUUUGUUCCAGGCACACUGUGUUUCAAACAGACCCAAAGCAUCCCCUUCUCUUGACUCUGGCUCCACCUGCAAAUUCUACCCACUCUAUAAUUAAUUUAGCUUUUCCGUGGAUGUUCACUGUCAGUCUACCAAGAAUGCCAGCUACUGGAAAAGAUCCAGUGCUAGGCACAUGGCUGGUGGGAGGAGACUUUGCCUCUAUUCUCUUUGGUCCUGUUGAGUCAACUCAUCCUCCCAAGUUCUACCAAAUAAUCGUGCCCCGCCCCCCCAGCUUUCUAGAAGAAUGGAAAAUGUGACUCUGUUGACUGAAACAGAAGUGACACUCCUGCCCUGACACAUAAGAAAGGAUGCUGAGUCACACUCCAAUUCUAUUCGGAAAUCGGAGUCCCUGAGGAAGGGGACCUUGCGUUAUGUUUGUUCUAUGCCAUUUUCCUAAGUCAAAGGCACCUCAUGCUCACCAUUAAAUAAAAAGCUAAGCAAAUGUCUAAGUGUGUUUGGUGAUCUGCCGGAAGGUGACACAUAAUGGUAAGGGUGGAAAGAGUCAUUGUACCUAAUUAGUUGACGUGAUAUCAGAAUUCUCUAAUUACCUUUUUAUUUAUUUAUUUUUUUUACAAGAGCAGAUAGGUUUUAAUCAUUUCAUCCAGUAAAUAUUUCGGGGGGGAGGAGGGCUCCAGACAACCACAUAUCCGCAUAUGCUGAAAAACAAACACUUUGGUGGCCAUGGUGUGGGGGUAUGGGCUCAGGGAGCAGGGACAGGUGUCAGGCAGAGACCUGACAGGUACUGGUUGCACUGACCCAGGUGGCUCUACUAGGACUACAGCUUUUUUUUUUUUUUUUCUUUUUUCUUUUCUUUCUUUUUUUUGGCUACACUCGCGCCAUGUGGAAGUUCCUGGGCAGGGAACCUGCGCCACAGCUGUAACCACAGCCACAACAGUGACAAUACCAGAUCCUUAAAACCCACUGAGCCGCCAGGGAACUCCAGGGCUAUGGCUUCUGAAGCCUCAAAUUUGUUCAAGCUCCACUUCCUGUCCUCCCGCCCCCCUCCCCAAUGCCAGCUCUUGCUGCCUGCCUUGCCCUGUUCAAGAGGAUGGUAUUUCUGGUGGGAUGGUCUCAGCCCUCCCCUGGAGAGUGAUGCCCACAUGGAGGCUUUUCAUGAAAACCUGUUUAAAGGCUGCAGAGUCCACGAGAGCAGAACACCGCUCAUCUUAUUCAGUGGUACCCUGAGCACCAGAUGCAAUGCCUGCCCUAAUUAACUUUUUAAAAUAUCCUUGCUCCCAGAAAAUAUUAGGUGUUGAACGGUCAGUAUAUCGUCACUCCUAAAAUACCAUCAGAACAGUCUAUAGUGCUGUGGGACAUGUAACACCAACACCAGCCAUGAGCAAUCACCCCUUUCAGCAUCAGUGUAACUUACGUGGAAGAAACACUAAGAGCCCACUUGAAUUUAAAAGAUGAGGUUGAUUCAACACACAGGGUAUCUAAAGAAAUAAGGGAAACAUCCGAGAGUCCUCUUUGUGAACCCAAAACAUGCCUUCUAGACCACACUUCUUAAGAAGCAUACAAGAGCCGUCGCAGACCCAGCCAAACCUGCCUCAAGCUGCAUUUAACACCGCUCUCUCCCACCUUCCCUCUUCCAAUCUGUAUGGCCUUUGUGCACUUGAAGCUGUCCCUGCUCAAUGCCGAGCCCUUUCCCUUAUGCUUCCAUCCUAGAUGCAUACUGUUUUCUCUCUUCAAAGGAUUCUGUCAAACACUUACAAAACCUUUAAGAUCCAAUGUCACCUUCUCUGGAGAAAAGGUAGUUACUUUAUUCUAGGGACAAGAUGGGGUCUAAAUGCUGCAGCUGUUUUUUGUUUUUGUUUUUGUUUUUUCUUUUUUGGUAAGCCAGAGUUUAUUUCUAUUUAAAUGAUACUCAAGGAACUUUCAGAGGGUUAAAAGGCCCAAAGAUACCUGGGUUUAAUAUAAUAUUAUCGCCAGGCUAUUGCUGCGUCUGUUUUGAAAUCCUCAGGACAACCCUGGGCAGUUCAAUGCUUCGCUAAUUCCUCUAGUCCAAGAGUGGUGAAUUUCUCUGGGAUUUGGUCUAAUUCAUACAAGCCCAGGCCGACCUCAUGGUGCAACGGUAGCGCAUCUGACACCAUGCAAGACUGUUCCUCCAGGACUGAUGACAAAAACUGUGCCAGAAGCAAUCACUGUCAUUGAGAGGAAGAAAGGUAGAUGAUCAGAGAAGAAAGCCAACACAAAAAGCAAUUUCAAGAAGGAGAAUUAUUAAUCUGGUAUGGAAAGAACAGAAGCCUUUGCAGAAUCUAUGCGAAAACCCUUCUCGUGUUGUUCUUUGAAACCAAGUCCUCUGGCUCUGAGCUUGAGUAGCUGGGAUCAGGAGGGGUCUUCUAAUAACAUGUAUCUUCACGUUCUUUUCCUCAGGCUCUUGCACACUGUCUGGAAACUGGCAGAUGUUCAAUAAAUGUCUUUCAAGUAAAUGGAGGGCUUGCUGAUUCACAUGUGAUAGGACCUUUUGUCUAUUGACCGGAGGUCAGUUGCUCUUCUGACUUUAUUGGGCUUUUCCAAAGUAAAAUCACAAAAACUCUCUCUCAUCACAACAAUAAGCAUAGUAAUAGCAGUUGAUAUUAAUUGAGUGCUUACUAUGUGCCAAAUACUAUGAAGUCUUAACAUGGCCAAUUUCAUUGAACUUCAUUUAACAAAUUAUCCCCACUUUACCCGUGAGGAGCUUGAAGCUUAAGACACCAAGUUAACUUGGCUAAGUAAUUUGCCAAGGGAGUGAAUAAGGGAGCCAGGACUUAAGCACAGAGUCCCUGUGUUAAGCUCUACAGCUAGCUACUCCUCAACACCACUAGGCUGAUAGUUAUUAACUCAUUACUGGCGGUACUGAUCUCCACUGAGAAGCUCUUCCCCCUCCAGGCAUGUAGCAUCAGAUUUACUGCUGGCCGAGGGGAGCACGAGCUCCUGGAUUUAUGGAAGGAGCAUGGCGGCCGCCUCGCCCCAGUGGUGUAAUCUGCUGUUGGAAAUUUCCAUGACAGCACACUUGGAGGCUUUCUUGGUGGGCCCUGGCAUGGUGAUGAGUGCAAGUUUCUUUAUUCCUUAUGGAUCCUGAAAAACCAGACUUUCAGUGGCUAUGCCUGCUAGUAACUGGCUUCCUGCGAUGGAUCUGGAAGAGCUGGCUCCUUGUAAGUCUUGAAGAUUCACACUUGAUAGUUUUAUACAUUGUUGCUGAAGGUCUAAGCUCAGAUCUAAGGUACCUCCUCAAAUAAGCCUUUCCUGGUCCCUGUCAAGUUAAAGUGCUUUCUUUCCACUCCCUCAUUCCUAGUUUUCUGUCUGUAACUCCUUUCCAGUUCAUUUCCCACUCAGAGCUUAGGAGGAAACUUGCUCUAAAACCUGGCAAGCAUUAAUUAAAAAUUGUAAAUAGCUGCAUCAAAAUGCCAAUUCAUGUACUUUUUUGUAUAGUGAGAGAAUACCCAUUCUUCUGGAAAAGACUAUGGAUCUGUGAGAGAUCAGCUGGCUGUUGAUUUUAUUUCUCUCUGGUAGAGGGAACAAGAAUGGCCUGACAAAUCCGCAGGACCGAGCGCAUGUGCCCUCUGCCUCUGGUUUUCCUAGCUGUCAGGUGCUGAAGGUUUAAGCAGGAGCCCUGUGCUUAUUUGCCCACAGUUGCAGUCCCCGUUCGGAUAGGCAGGGGGAAGGCUGAGUGGGCCCACGCACACGUGGACGCCCUGGGCAUCUGUGUGCAUUUAAUCCGGAGACAGACCUCAUUUCGUAGCAACCUUAACAUGUCAUUCGAAUGUACUGGAAAAGAGGAGAAAAGGGAAGGUGAGUCCCCUCUGGACCCGGAGCCUCGUCUCAGAAAGAUUUCCCGUGCUUUGCAGAGGGCCGGAACCCUUAGGAAAUACCUGCCAGGGGUUAUCCACUAAAGCUGCCCGCUAGCACCGGCAGACUGCAGGGGAUUCUCAUCGAGGCAGAGCAGGCGGCCGGGCAGUGAUUGAAGUGUCCAGCAGGGGGCUGGCAUUCUCUGUCUAUAAGUAGCCCUGCUUCCUUUCAGAGCCUCAGCUCAGCAGAGCUGCCGUUUGCUGGCGAAGCCGCUGACGUGCAAAGCACUCCUGCCUAUAGCAUUUGAGGCUUUCUCGGUGCAAUUUUUUUCUACCCACUUUAAACCUUCAGGUUCUCACUACCAAGAAAGACACGGGGAAUGCCGUGUGGCAAUAGCAGGGCCAAAGUUCUUAGUAAACUGCAGCCGGGGAGACUCAGAUGAGAAUGGAGGUAGAAAGAGUUGGUCCAGAGUGGGUUUGAUUCGAAGCCCCUUGGGGGCUGAGUUUUUGUGGUUGUUUUCUUGUGAACUUAUUGAAUUUAGAGAUGUAUUGCAUUGGUCACAUGAAGACCAGGGCAGCACCAGCGUCAAAAUAGUGACAGACAGUCUGAAUGCCAUCGUAGCUGUGUACUCAGAGUCUUUUUAUUAGAGAGGCUAAAGAGCCCGGCAUAGAUUUUCAUCCUCUUCUUCACCCAACUGCACAACCAAAAGUUCAGAAACGGCCUCUCAGGACACGUUUUAGGUGAGACCGAAUCUGGAGGAUGGCUCUGAAUGACUGUUUGCCUCUGAACUUGGAAGCGGACCGUUUCGUGCACUGCCACAUCUCUAAUCUCAGUGUGGAUCUCCCCACGAACGACGACUGGUUCCACCCCGGGGUCUUCUAUGUCAUCCCUGCCAUUUAUGGGGUCAUCAUUCUGAUAGGCCUCGUUGGCAACAUCACCCUGAUCAAGAUCUUCUGUACGGUGAAGUCCAUGCGCAACGUGCCCAAUCUCUUCAUCUCCAGCCUGGCUUUGGGGGACCUGCUCCUCCUGGUGACCUGUGCUCCCGUGGAUGCCAGCAGGUAUCUGGCCGACAGGUGGCUGUUCGGCAGGAUUGGCUGCAAGCUGAUUCCCUUUAUCCAGCUUACCUCGGUGGGGGUGUCUGUCUUCACGCUCACGGCUCUCUCCGCAGACAGGUACAAAGCCAUUGUGCGGCCAAUGGAUAUCCAGGCCUCUCAUGCCCUGAUGAAGAUCUGCCUCAAAGCCGCCCUGAUCUGGAUCAUCUCCAUGCUCCUGGCCAUCCCAGAGGCUGUGUUUUCUGACCUUCAUCCCUUCCACGAGGAAAGCACCAACCAGACCUUCAUUAGCUGUGCCCCGUACCCGCACUCGAAUGAGCUGCACCCCAAAAUCCACUCCAUGGCGUCCUUCCUGGUCUUCUACAUCAUCCCGCUGGCCAUCAUCUCUGUUUACUACUACUUCAUUGCCAAAAAUCUGAUCCAGAGCGCUUACAAUCUACCCGUGGAAGGGAAUAUACAUGUCAAGAAACAGAUCGAAUCCCGGAAGCGCCUCGCCAAGACAGUGCUGGUGUUCGUGGCUCUCUUUGCCUUCUGCUGGCUCCCCAACCAUGUCAUCUACCUGUACCGCUCCUACCACUACUCCGAGGUGGACACCUCCAUGCUCCACUUUGUCACCAGCAUCUGUGCCCGCCUCCUGGCCUUCACCAACUCCUGCGUGAACCCCUUUGCCCUCUACCUGCUGAGCAAGAGUUUCAGGAAACAGUUCAACACCCAGCUCCUCUGCUGCCGGCCCGGCCUGAUGACCCGGUCUCACAGCACCGCCAGAAGCACCACCUGCAUGACUUCCUUCAAGAGCACCAACCCCUCCGUGGCCACCUUCAGCCUCAUCAACGGAAACAUCUGUCACGAGGGGGCUCGAAUACCAAAGUUUGAGAGCCUCUGCUUUCUGGGAUAAUCCUAAUCAUCCGAGAGCAGGAAAGCAGCAAAGAGACGACACAACAACUGGCUGUCAAUGGGAGCUGUCCAUGCUCCCUGCGCCCUAGGUCAACAGCUGCUGGGCUGACCAAGUGCCUCCCGCAGCCUCAACGUCUGCUCCAGGACCCUGUAUUUUCCAUGACCCAGAAACUAGAGGAUCAGGCUCCCAGAGCAGGGGGUCUCUGGGGCUGGAUAGUGGCGGCCAUUCUGAUGGGUUUGGUACCCAGGUCAUGCCCAAGAUGUUAGAAUUUUGACCCUCAGCCCUGAAUCUGCCCAGCCACAUGUCACUGCCCUAGAAGGGCACUUCCCAGAGUCCCACCACUGUUUUUGGCCUUGGGAGACCUGAGGCAGGUGCAACCAGAUGUGUCAAACCCAACAUCCUAGGGAUUCAUGGAAGUGAGGACCUUGGUUGGAGGCUGAUGGACCCAGGUUCUCCAAGGAUCAAGAACUCUUAAUCAUAAUACUAGCAGGGAAAAACAGAAGCUUGACAAGAUCAGGAGUGCCUUUCUUUUCUAGGGUAAGAUUAAUAAACACCGUUAGAAAUCUCAAGAUAUCAAUGCAUUGAGGUUAUGCAGAGGGAUUUUGACAUCUCUCUUUUUUUAAACCUUGAAAUCUAUAUUGCAUAUAGAAAAGGAUAAUUAUGUGACCACCUGUGUUCCCACACAUAGCUUAAAAAAUAGAACAUGGGAGUUCCCAUAUGGCUCAGUGGUAAUGAACCCAACUAGUAUCCAUGAGGAUACGGGUUUGAUCCCUGGCCUUGCUCAGUGGGUUAAGGAUCCUGAGUUGCUGUGGCUGUGGCUUAGGCCAGCGACUGCAACUCCAAUUUAACCCCUAGCCUGGGAACUUCCAUAUGCUGCAGGUGCAGCCCUAAAAAGCCAAAAAAAAAAAAAAAAAAAAAAGCAGCACACAGCCAGUACCUCAACAACCCCCAGUGGCCCUUCCCCAUCGUCAGACCCCUUCCCACCGGCUAUGGAUUGAAUGACUCUGCCCUCCAAAAUGCAUGUGUUGAAGCCCAGGUGUCAUGGUGUUUGGAGGUGGGGCCUUUGGGGGAAGUAAUUAGGUCUUGGGGGUGGAGCCCUGAUGAAGGCUCCUUAAGAGAAGAGGAAGAGCACUAACCUCUCUCCAUUUUGUGAGGACCAACGAGAAUUCAGCCAUCAACAAGCCAGAAAGAGGGCCCCCACCAAGAACCAAAUCUGCUUCCACCUUGAUCUUGGACCUCCAGAACUGUGGGAAUUAAAUGUUUGUCGUUGAAGUGCCCUAGUCCAAGGUAAUUUGUUAUACCCUACCCCAGAGGUAACUACUACUCGUGUUACUUGUUUUCUUUGCUUUUCUCCAACUUUGAAUGUAUCCCUGAACGAUCUAAUCCUUCAUCAGUUUUGCCUGCUUUGGAACUUUAUACAAAUGGCACUCCGUUGGAGGUAAUCACCUGGGACAUGCUUUCUUGCCUCUACUGUGUUUGUGAUAUUCACCUGGAUCGGAGUAUGUGCUUCUAGUUUGUUCAUUCUCAUAGCUGUACCUCAUUCUGUUUUGGGCCAGUCUCAGCCUAUCAAUAACCAAUGCUGUGGUUGGACUGGCCCUUGUGGUUCUUAUUAUGAUUAUAAGAUGCCCUUCAGCAAUAACCACCAGGAAACUCUGAAAAAAUAAAGGUCUAUUACUUAGAAGAUCUGGAAAUUACACAGCACACCUGGAGUCACACAACAAGGUCAUGGGUAGAGAGAGAGGGAGGGAGAGAAAACACUGGCCUGGGGUUGUAUUUUUAUUAGGGUCAAGAUGGGAACCCUGGGGUUUUGAGGGCUCAGUCUUUAUUGCUGAUUUCCAAACCUAAGAGGGGGGAAUUUAAAGCACAUGAAGAAAAAAAAAAAAAAAAAAAAAAAAAAAAAA